UGCUGCAUAAAAAAACUACACACCAGGAAUCUAUAGAGGGCAUUGACAAGCCACACAGCCACAAUGGAGUGUGCACUGGAUAUUCCCUCAGGUGAGGAUGAAGUGAAUGAGAAAGACGCUAUAAUUGCCAAAGCGGAGACUGAGAUGCCCCACAAGAAAAACAAGAAACACAAAAAACACAAGAGCAAGAGAAAGAAAAGGAAAAGAAAGGGUGAGAAAGAGAGCAGUUCAGAAUCUGGAGCAGAUUCUGAUGCAGAGCCACCUCCAUCUCCACCUAAACCUGUUAGGACUACCAGAGCCAGUGCCAGACUUGCAGCGGCUGCUAAUACUGGAAGCUCAGGUGUACUGAAGGAAGACAGCAGAAAGGAUCCAAUUACAGGUGGUUGGAAGCCUGUGCCCUUUACGACUGUUUCUGACUGUAAAGAUGAAGAUUCUUCAGAUAAACUGGAGGAUCAGUCGUCCCUCAGCCAUGACAAUGAGCAGACAAAACAAGUUUCCCCCCCAAUGUCCCCCAUUGCAAGAGACGUCUCUAGGCCCAGGUCUGUGUCUCCAGAGCAAGGCACUGGCCAGGAAGGUUCAGAAUGCUCUGAUGGCUUUGAGGAAGAAAACAAAUCUCCAGUUAAAAGUUUGCCUAAAAGCCCGAAAAGCUCCUCUCGUUCAGCUUCUCCAGAAAUCCAGGAAAAGCCAUUAUCAAAGUCUCGCUCGCCUGAACAAAGGAAACGUUCACGUUCAACCUCUUCACCUCGUCGUUCAACAUCCAAGUCCAAGUCUAGGAAAAAGCUCUCCAGAUCAAGGUCUCCUGGCCGAAAAAGAGAAUCAGUCUCUCCAUCAGAAAGAAAGAAGCGGCGGUCCAAAUCCCGUAGCCCUGCCCGAAGACGGAGGUCAACAUCACGCUCUGCAGCACGACGAAAGCGAUCCAAGUCCCGAACCAGAGCCCGUAGGUCCAAGUCCCGUUCUCCACCACGCAAGCGACGAUCACGCUCACGUUCAACAAAUGGGCGAGGAAGAAGAAAGUCCAUGGACAGGAGUAAGAGAUCCAAGAGCCGUUCCGCAGGUAGGAGGAAAAGGUCGCGAUCAGGAGACAGAAGCAGACGAUCAAAGUCUCGUUCCACUGAUCGGAGACGUAGGUCCAGAUCCAGAGGCCGGGGAAGGCGUCCACCAUUUCGCAGUCGUUCUUUCGACAGAAGGGACAGGUGGAAGAGGGAGCCUAGCCACUCUCCUGUUCUUAUCCUACGCAAACAGCGGCGCUCAGGAUCCAGGACAAGGCGGAGCCCUAGCAAGACUCCUCCUCGACUCACUGAACUGGAUAAGGACCAGUUACUGGAGAUUGCCAAGGCUAAUGCAGCUGCCAUGUGUGCUAAAGCAGGCGUCCCUAUUCCUGAGAGUCUUCGGCCGAAAGCUAUCCUCCAGCUUCCCUUGCCCACACCAUCUCCCGGUCCGCUGUCUUUGCCUCUACCUCUUCCUCUUCCAAUGGGCAUGGGGAUGCAUAGCAUGCCAAAUAUGCCCAACAUGGGGCCAUUGGGGUUGGGUAAUAUUCCAGGAAUGCCCAUGUCUAAUAUGACAAUGAGUGCCGCUAUGGCGAGCAUGACAGCAGCGACCAUGACUGCUGCUCUGACCAACAUGGGUGCUCUGGCGGCCAUGCCUCCCCUCGCCCCCCUUCCAACCAUCACUAACAAACCUCCCCCCUGCCUUGCACCUCCAACACCUUCAUUAAACCUGGACCACAUCGAGGAAGCAAAGAGGAAGGUCACCCAGCAGGCCAACAUACAUACCAUCAAGGAGCUUACUGAGAAGUGCAAGAUGAUCGCAAACAGUAAAGAAGAAAUGGCCAUCGCUCGACCCCAUGUCUCAGAUGAUGAAAGCUAAAACUGCUCGGCUCUCAUGCCGCCUCCCUCACAGUUCUUUCCUUUAAGCGGAUGACCGAGCUCGAUGGAUGAGGACCUUGGUUGUCAUAGUCACGACGCAGGAGCACCUGCACCCCACCAUGCCUCACUUGGCCUCCCAGUUUCUCUUUGUGAAAGUGUAGAACUGACCUGUAAUACCACUGCAAGAGGUGCACACACUGACCCUGAGUGACCCUGCAGUGUGUCCCAAGUUCGUGCGUGUGUAUAUAGUGACUUUUACCUUCCAUCUCACAGUGUUGCUUAGCCAAGCAGCCGCCUCAAGCAAAGACUGAUGAGGUUACACACUAAACUAACUAGUGCUGAUAGUGUUUUGUGAAAGUUCCCUUGAACUUCUUUAUUUUUUGAGUUCUUGAAGUUUGUGUUCAGUGAUGGCUGCUUUUCUUGCUCUGCUGUGUCCACCUCCAUCAUUGUUUAGGACCUUGUUUUAUUCAUAUUUCCAUAGUGUAUAUGAAGUUAGACUGUAAUUUGUCACAGGGUUUUUGCCAGAAGUUGUUUAGCUCAGAAAUCCAAUGUCUUUAUUGGCAGUUUAAAUGAACAUUUUUCCCUUCCAGACUUGGGGUUUACUUUAUUUGGAAGUACCGGUAAGUUGGUAAUGCUUUUCUGUUCCUGUUUAAUCAGCUUCACUAAGAACAGCUGAUAUAACUGAGUUAAUGACAGUGCAGCUAGUGGGAGCCAAUAUUUCAAUUCAAAUUCACAUCACCUACAUUAUUGAGGAACAUGUUUGCAAAUUAUAUUUAAAGAGGAACAGUAUGUGCUGCUUAAACGCUCCCAUGUUGUAACAAACUGGUGGAAACCCUGUGUGACUCUUUUUUAUUAUUAUUACUAUUAUUAAUGAGUGUGACCACAUGUUGGUCAGUUAGGUUUAAUUUGAAGGAUGACAACAAAUGAACCAAUUGACAAAAAAGAGUCUUGAAUUGUAAGUAUAAUGCGUGUAUUUUCAGUCAUACAAGUCUGUUAUUUCAGCCCUAGGUGUGAGAUCUUUUCUUUUUUUUACAGCACAAGGCUUUUCUUUCACUGCUACCCUAGUCUUUCACUUGGGGUUUUUGAGGAUUUUUACUACAUGGAAACAUGUCGCUGUAGAUUUUCUUUGAGCUGUUUCUCUGUCAAAGUUUUAACACCAAUAUUUUACCACAAAAAUACGCCAUUAAAUUUCUCUGAACUUUAAAUCAUCCUUAAGUUUGUUUCAGCUGGAUCUUAAACUUUUGGACAAAAGAUGAUUUUAGUUUUCAUCAGAAGAAAAAAAUUGAGUCGUUCAUAUUACCCCCAAUCCAAUUGUAAAUAGAAAUAUACUUUAUUUGUUAACGAAUCAUUUUUUUUUCCUUACAUGUUGAUGACAAAGUCUGUGAUAAACAUUCUUUCUGAAUCCAAAUCAGAUUUUUGUCUUCUUGCCUGCAGUUAGACUAGACAGAAGCAGUUCACAUCAAUACUAUUCUCUUGUUGCUGCGUUGGAGGUGACGAGUGGCUUCAAUGUUGAGGCUUGAACUUUAACUGUUGUGCAUCAGAUAUUGAGAAUUAAGCAUGCAAGAUAUUCAUACAGUAUGUUGAGUUGGGAAACGUUUCUAAAAACGAGAGAAGACAAAAACAUGAAAACCCAAUCUGCCCAAAUCCUGCUGAUGUAUUUGCUCUACAGUUCCGUUAAAUGCUGUUAUUGCACAAUGUGUGUGCUGUGUAACACAUUUAAUCUAAUACAUUUUUCCAGUUAGAUUAAAGCAAACCAAAGCUUGGGUGGAUGCUUUACAAUAAACUUAAAAGGAAGAACUAAAGAAAACUGGUU
ensembl:lncRNA serine/arginine repetitive matrix protein 2-like